AGCGAACGCUGGCGGCAGGCCUAACACAUGCAAGUCGAACGAACCCUUCGGGGUUAGUGGCGGACGGGUGAGUAACACGUGAGAACGUGCCUUUAGGUUCGGAAUAACUCAGGGAAACUUGUGCUAAUACCGAAUGUGCCCUUCGGGGGAAAGAUUUAUCGCCUUUAGAGCGGCCCGCGUCUGAUUAGCUAGUUGGUGAGGUAAAGGCUCACCAAGGCUACGAUCAGUAGCUGGUCUGAGAGGAUGACCAGCCACAUUGGGACUGAGACACGGCCCAAACUCCUACGGGAGGCAGCAGUGGGGAAUCUUGCGCAAUGGGCGAAAGCCUGACGCAGCCAUGCCGCGUGGAUGAUGAAGGUCUUAGGAUUGUAAAAUCCUUUCACCGGUGAAGAUAAUGACUGUAGCCGGAGAAGAAGCCCCGGCUAACUUCGUGCCAGCAGCCGCCGUAA
rnacentral:rRNA from 1 species